rnacentral:rRNA from 1 species
UACGGAGGGAGCUAGCGUUGUUCGGAAUUACUGGGCGUAAAGCGCACGUAGGCGGCUCAGCAAGUCAAGGGUGAAAUCCCGGGGCUCAACCCCGGAACUGCCCUUGAAACUGCUAAGCUAGAAUCUUGGAGAGGCGAGUGGAAUUCCGAGUGUAGAGGUGAAAUUCGUAGAUAUUCGGAAGAACAUCAGUGGCGAAGGCGACUCGCUGGACAAGUAUUGACGCUGAGGUGCGAAAGCGUGGGGAGCAAACAGG